ACAAAAAUCCCCAAUUUGAAACCCUAGUCAGAAUUUAUGGAGGCAUCUUCACCUCGCUCGAUCUCCAGCCACGCCGCCACCACCGUCGUCGCCUCGACACCCAGUCGAGACCUCGCCGCCGGAAUCUCGAGGCAGACCUCGGCGUUCCCUCCAACCGACCAAGAUUUGGUCGAUUCAGGCGGGAAAUCGCUCCGUUGGAGGACGCUCGACGGUUCCUACCACCGUCUUUGGCGUUCCUCGCUGGUGUGCGCGAGCUCGAUGUCUUGGCCGCCACAUAGCCCUGCCGUCAGCCGUCAGCUCUGGGCCUACGACGAGCCGCCGCCGCCGCCGCCGGAACCUCAACGCCCAGCCAUGGCUGGUGUUGCACCGUCGGAAGAGAGGAGAAGGCAUCGCUUCCCUCCGCACGGAGCUCCGACUGCCUCUGCGACUUCCUGCAGCUACCACCGCUGUCGCCGUCUCCACCUCCGGCGGAUUCACUUUCCCUUAAAGCUAAGUCCUUUAUCUUAUUCUUAGUGUAGCCACUUAAUUUGGGCAGAAGCUUAUGAGAUUUAACGAAAAUUCUUGCAUUUGAUUAUUGUGGUAAAACUUGGUUUGGUUUGCUAUUACUGAGUUAGCGUGUAAGGGCAGCAGCAGGUCGUUUCUCUUAUUUCAAAACGUGGUAAAGCUCUAAACUUGUUGUCUUAAGCAUGAUGUUCGAACAAAGGCAGAGGGUGUGCUUGUGAUAUAUUGAUUGUGAUUCUUAAGUUGUGGUGCCUCUAUAUGAUGAUAUGUAAAAUUUGAUUGGGAGAAGGGGUGGAGGUGGAGUACCUCUUGAAGCAGUUGCUUGAUUUUCAGCUUUUAAAACUUGGACUCUCUCACUUACUCCUUGAUUCCUUGCUAUGGGGAGUGGGAGUUGCUCUUGCUGCCACUGGUGUUGAUACUCCAAGCUCUCAAAAUUUUCUCUAACUUUGCUGAAUAUUUGUGAUGUAUGGGGAGGGAGUCUAACGGUGGGGUUGAGGGGGGGUUUUAUAGGCUGAUUUUGUAUCUUAGGAGAAUUAAUUGAAAGCUGAUUCCCCCCUUGUCCUCAUGUUGAAACCUAUCUCACUUUUGUGAUUUAGUAGUACUCUACACUAAAUGCAAUUUGGUCUUUAGUUAGAGAUUACAAGUCCCCUCAAAACUGACUUUGGUUGAUUGUGUGACUAGGAAAGCUGGUGCGCAUUUUGGAGGAGCAAAAAUGGCAGCUUUGACUUGCCUCUUUUGGUUUUGUAGGUGAGAAAGGAAGGUGUGGCUGUUGUGUUGUUCUCGGGCUAGGCUCGCUCCCCUUGGCCCGAUGGACUGCUCAAAGACGGGCUAUAGUUCGGGCCUGGAGAAGAGGCCCGAAGUGCAUCAAAAAUUUAUCUUUUCUUUUCUUUGUUUUCUUUAUUUGAAGCCUUGUUCCAUGUAUUAUUAUUAUUAUUUUUUUUUUUGAAGUUAGUAGUUCGUUUAUUGUAUAUGAAACGCUAUUCGAAUUUCUUUACUUGGGAAAAGACUUCUUGUCCUUCUUAUUUCA